UAUCUACUCCCUCCGUUCGGAUUACUUGUCUCGGAAAUGGAUGUAUCUAGAACUAAAAUACAUCUAGAUACAUCCAUUUUCGCGACAAGUAAUUCCGAACGGAGGGAGUACUAU
rnacentral:pre_miRNA from 1 species